CUGGGAGGACCAUCUCCUAAGGCUAAAUACUCUCUAGUGACCGAUAGUGAACCAGUACCGUGAGGGAAAGGUGAAAAGCACCCCGGAAGGGGAGUGAAAUAGAACCUGAAACCGUGUGCUUACAAGUAGUCAGAGCCCGUUAAUGGGUGAUGGCGUGCCUUUUGUAGAAUGAACCGGCGAGUUACGAUUUGAUGCAAGGUUAAGCAGUAAAUGUGGAGCCGUAGCGAAAGCGAGUCUGAAUAGGGCGUUUAGUAUUUGGUCGUAGACCCGAAACCAGGUGAUCUACCCUUGGUCAGGUUGAAGUUCAGGUAACACUGAAUGGAGGACCGAACCGACUUACGUUGAAAAGUGAGCGGAUGAACUGAGGGUAGCGGAGAAAUUCCAAUCGAACCUGGAGAUAGCUGGUUCUCUCCGAAAUAGCUUUAGGGCUAGCCUCAAGUGAUGAUUAUUGGAGGUAGAGCACUGUUUGGACGAGGGGCCCCUCUCGGGUUACCGAAUUCAGACAAACUCCGAAUGCCAAUUAAUUUAACUUGGGAGUCAGAACAUGGGUGAUAAGGUCCGUGUUCGAAAGGGAAACAGCCCAGACCACCAGCUAAGGUCCCA
rnacentral:rRNA from 1 species